UUCUGGAGCCAUGGCUUCUGCACCCAUCUCGACACUUGCGAUUCUCUUUACAUUGAGUGGACUAAGAGCUCAGUCGGUGACUCAGCCUGAAGAUCAGGUGACAGUUGCUGAAGGAGAUCCCCUGACUGUGAAAUGCACCUAUUCGUUUUCUGGGACUCCUUAUCUCUUUUGGUAUGUCCAAUAUCCCAACCAAGGCCUUCAGUUCCUUCUGAAGUACCUCACAGGGGACAAUCUGGUUAAAGGCAGCUACGGUUUUGAGGCUGAAUUUAAUAAGAGCCAAACCUCUUUCCACCUGAAGAAAGCAUCUGCCCUUGGGAGCGACUCUGCUUUGUACUUCUGUGCUGUGAGAGACACAGUGAUGGGGGCUGCAAUAGGAGCUGAACACAAACUCUUGAGUACUGGUCAUAAAGAGGUGAGUGAACUGUAA